GCUGAAUACAGGGUCUUGAAGGAGGAGGUUGAGGCCAUGGUGAGUCUGGCGAGCUGUUUGUCAGACGUGUGCCCGGAGAGGAUGAACGCUGUAGGGACUGAGAUUCAGACCAGCCUGAACGCCUGGGACGAGCUCGGCAAAAGUGUGGCUGAAAACAAGAAGAGACUCCUGCAGUUCGGACACCUGCGCCAUUUCUUUAGGAACUACCUGGCAAUGAUCUCUUGGACAGAAGACACCCGCUCCUGCAUUUUCUCAGAAAGCGCUCUGCGUCAAAGCCCGAGAGAACCAGGAGCCUCUGGUUGAGGUUCUGGAUCGGCAGAUAGAGCAGAAGUUUGAGGAGUUUGAUCAGCUCGCCGUGGCUGGAAAAAAACUCUUUGACGACGAGCAAUUCACCUACAACAAAAUGGUAUAUAAGCUUCCUUUAAUAUCUGCUUUCAGUUUGCAUUGACUUCUGAAAGAACAACCUCAAGUUUCUUCUGGAUGAAAUUAAGUUAAAGUGGUUUAGGGUCUUUUUCCAUUGCUCUUUGUCUUGUGCAGAUCAGAGAGAGGGUGGAGGAGCUGAGGAGCAUGCUGGGAUGGAUCCUGGUCCACUGGAGGGCUCAGAAGGAUCAGCUGUUGAGCAGACAGAAGACUGAAGAAGCUCAAACAGAUGCUAUUUACUCCGAGGCCAUGGUCUGCAGCCCACAAACACAGUUGGAAACCUCACCCGAGGUCUCUCAGAAGAAAACAGAAAGCCUCAAAAGUGCUCCCCCUGGUGACACGGAGGAUGGUUUGCAGCACAGUUAUGGAUAUGAGGUGAUGCAAAGUGUCAGUCCUAAAGGAAGCGAUGAUAGCGGUCGUUUAGAGAGGCCGGAUUCACCGUACCUGGUGCUAAAGGAACCCAGCCCAUCAGCUUUAGGAGGCACCGUCAACCUCAUCCUCAGCUUCAGUAACUCUGGAGACACACAAAUCCAGGUAAGUACUUACUUGCAUGUUACGGAAAACAACACGGCAGUGUAUGAAAGUAUGGCGCUUCCCCAAGACAAAGCUCCAAGGCCCUCCUCCUCCUCUCCCAGGACCCUAUAUGCUCUCUCCUCCCCUUGCACCUCCCCAUACUCCUCGUCCUCCAUCAAAGACACACUACAACAGGCCAACAACCUCCUGCCAAAGAAUGGCAACAUCUCAAUCUUAAGCAGCCUGAAGAGGAAGAGCAAGAAGGCCAGGAAGAAGAAAGAUGACCGUAGACACACCAUUCAGAAGAUCAUGGGAGAGGAUCUGUCAGAGCAGGGAGAGGAUCUGUCAGAGCAGGAUGAUUUGCCACCUGUACGUGAACCGGUGACAUACGAUACACAUACUUGGCCCCUGAAGGAAAGAAAGAAGAGGAAAAAUGCAAGGAAACCAAAAAGCGAUGGGACUCAGGUCUUGGACUACAUAAAAAACCCUUUAGUGAAAGACAUAGAUGCAGAAUGUUCUGGAGAGGUUGGAUCUCCAGUUCACAGCACCUUAGAGGUUGCCACCCAAGGACAUGUGAAGAACCACUGUAGAUUUCUAUCCUUGGGCUCUGUGUUAAGCUUCGACCUGCCCAAGGAUAUGAGCCUUAUCCCUAGCAUUCAAGAUGUCAUCACAAUUGGCCCUCCUGAGCAAAAGAAGACAGACUCUCAUCACCAGGACACUCAGGUUGAUCGUCCAACAGCUCUGAGCACCUUUAAAACAGUCCGCUCAUGUCCAAUGCAAAAAGAAGAGCCCAAACAAAUUUCUCCAGGUGAACUAACCCUUAAGAUUGAGUGUAAAGACUCCAAAAAGAUCAGCAUUGACACGGUUUCUUUUACUGAAGAUGAAUUUCCUCCUCCACCUUCUCCAGUUGUUGAAGACAUCUCAUUUGAGGAGAAUCAUCCCUCAUCAGUCAGUAAUCUGACCAAUAUUCAACAGAAACAUCUGUCUGGGAUAAGUAUAGUGCCCAAAGAAGAGAUGGUUAGUUGGAAAGCAAAUGGGACUCAACUUGAGAACAAGGAGAACCACUACGUAAGUGUUCCAGAAGAUGCCAUCCAAGGUGUAGCCUUAACUAUGGCAGAGAUUCAUGUAUGUCCUAGCGACCAUACCUUGGUUCACAAUCUUAAUGGACAUGUGUUCCAUAGACCAGUGAAGAACUCCAGCACUCAACAGUUAAGUCCCAGCCAUGCAUCUCAUGUAGUGUUGAACUUCAGAGCCAAUGGAAGAGAGGACUCAGUGGACUCUGGUCACUCCAGCUCUGGAAGCUUCAAGUUAUGUGCAGAGGGUCCAUACAUAGACUCCUCAGAUUGUCCAGUGCCCAAGAGGACCACUGGGAAGGUACCAUCCCUGGAUGCAGGAGUGUCGACCAAGAACUUUGAGUUCUCCAAGGACACAAACAUUACCUUAUCAUUCGACAUUGAUGCUCCAGUUCAUCCUGACCAUCAACAGUUUGAGCAGGAAGAGGAGGAGCUGGAGGACAUCUGGAACCACACCAACAGCCACCGAGAGAGUCUGAACUCUGACAUCAUGUAUAAUGGCUACCAGGCCACCUCUUCUCUAGACCAGCACAGGGAACCCUCACCCAAAGAACAAGCAGUGCUCUUCAGGAAGUUGGUCACGGCCUCUGCACCCAACCUUCUUGUGGCGGAGUUCAGACUGCCACCAUCUGUCCAGACUAUGGUGGGUUCUGGGAAGCAGCAGAACCCAAGGGAAGAAAGGCAAAUUCUGGAUAAAGGGGACAGAAGGUCUUGGGCUGCGUUCACUCAGCAGGAACAGGUUUACAAACAAGUGUCUCUUAAUGAAACAGCUUCAGAUAUGGUUAAACUACCUGAAAUACAGGACCAGCAAAAGUAUAUCUACCAUUAUAGAGAGGAGGAGGAGGAAGAGGAGGGGGAGGAGAAGGAAACAGGUUUUCUGAAGGACCAAUCCAUGAGCCUACUGUCUGUUCAUAUGGGAUUGGAUUGGACCAGUGACAAUGUUAUCCAGAGUGGAAGACAAGAACUGGAACUGCCAUCUAUGGAAGGUACACUGGAGAGGAAACAAAAACUACAACUCGGUGGAAAGAAGGUAAAUAUCCCAAUUACAGAUAUUUCCUUGACCCCAACCACAACAAAUAAGCAUUUUGUGUCUCAUGCCUCAUGCUUUUACCUGCAGGCUACUGUGGUAGAUGUCAAAUUAGGUUGCAUUUUUCUUGGUCUUUAUGUAACCAACAAAAUAAAUUUACUAUUUCAGGCUUCAUGCAGGGCGUGGAACUCCUAUCAUGCUGUGCUAUACAAACAAACAAUAUGUUUCUAUCAGGACAGGAAAGAUACACUCAAGGUAAGCUUGAAGACUUCAUGUUCUGGCUUUGCAACCAAGUAG
rnacentral:lncRNA from 1 species